rnacentral:misc_RNA from 1 species
UUAAGUUCAGCGGGUAUUCCUACCUGAUUCGAGGUCAACCAUUGAAAAGUUGGGGGUUUUCCGGCAGGACGACGUCCCAGGCCCAGAACGAGAGAAAACUACUGCGUUCGGUCUUGGGGCGCCGCCGCCGCUUGCUUUGGGAGGCUGCGUGCGCAGUCCUCCAACGCCAGGCAGAGCCUGAGGGUUGAAAUGACGCUCGA